CAUGGUCUACUGUUUGCUUCCUUUGUCGGUGUAAACCACCAUGGGAAGUCAACCCUUCUUGGUUGUGCUUUUCUUGGCAAUGAGGAGAUCCCUAGUUUCGAAUGGGUGUUCACGCAGUGGGUGAGAUGCAUUGGGACUGCGCCAAAGGGUAUCAUCACUGACCAGUGCAAGGCGAUGGCUGGUGCUAUAAGGAAGGUCCUACCUGAUACUGUCCACAGAUGGUGCAUUUGGCACAUAAUAAAGAAAACACAAUUCAAGCUUGGUGGCUACGCUAGAUCUUUAUGCGAAUCGACGUAAGUGGGUGCCAAUAUUCUUCAAGAGUGAAUUUUGGGUCGGCAUGAGGAGCACACAUCGGAGUGAAAGUAUGCACGCAUUCUACGGUGGAUACCUUCAUUGCAAGAGUGGAUUGGUUCAGUUCGUCCAUGAAUACGAUAACGUAGGAGCAAAAGGAGCUUGAAGAUGAUGCUGCGGACUCGAAAGGAGUCAUCCCAUGUAUAGGGAGCACAGGCAUUGAGCGACAGUUUCAACAGGAAUACACCAGUAAUAUGUUCCGGACCCUUCAGCUGGAGGUAAGGAAAAAAACCGAUUGUGUGGUUCGAUCAACUGAACAAAAUAGAGAUACAAUUUCUAUUAAAGUGGAUGAGCAGAAGGUAUUUUGUGUUGUCACAUCCUUGCGAUCUGGUCAUACUAUAGAGUUGACACAGCACCGAGCUGCUAUGUUCUUCCUCGAUGGAGUAAGAAUAUCAUCCGCAAGCACACUUACAUUAAGAGUAGCCAUGACGUGGCUCGGAGUAAUGAAAGCCACAAUUUGUUCAGGAAUCUGUGUUCGGAGUUCUAUAAUGUUGCUCAGGAGUUUGUUUCUUGUGAAGAGGAAGCAGCCAUCUUGCGAGCUGCCCUUUUGGAUGCAAAGUUCAAGCUGACUGAUCACCGUGCCAGCAUGCGUUCCACUACUCUUGAUGGGACUCAGAAUACGAUGCCCACACGGAGCACAUGCGAUGUUAUUUUACAUGACAUACAGGGACCCUCAAGGGUGAAAACCAAAGGACGGCCUAAGGGUAAGAGACUUGGAGCAGAGUUGGACAAGUCAAUUAAGAAGUCAAUGGAAAAAAGGAAGAGGAAAUCACACCCGGAUGUUGUUGACCUUCAGACAGAUAAUGAUUGCCAAGGUUCUGUGGACAACAGAUUUGAGGAUUCUACUAUAUGGAAUUCAUCAGAUGGUGGCGGAUUCAUGGACCUGUUGAACUCUUUUAGGCAUUUAUAGCCAUGUUUCUUGGCAUGAGUAAUUUGUCAUACUUAGCUAGAUUUCUUGUUCCUUUAGACACAACUGAAUAAACUCUUCAUUUUUCUGUUUUGUCACUUUCAU